AAAUAAUAAGAAAUACAUCAGUAUAAAAUACGACAUGUGCUUAAUGCAAAUAAAUUGUGACUGUGUGUGUUUGUGUAUGUGCAGUAACUAAAAUUAAAAAGAAAAUUAAUUGUUUUGACAGUUGUCGAUUGUGAACUGCAAAAUUGUGAAUUGCAUGCCAGCGGCGCGCACACAAGCACAGGUGUCAGGAAUAGCCGAGCCAUCGAGCCGAGCUGUCAGUUCGUGUCGUAUCGUUCGUCGUGCUGUGUGUUUAUUUAACACAGUUACUCGUGCUUUGGCCACUCAGUUCGUAUUUGCAGCUCGUGCCGUGCGUUCGUCCUUCACACAUACGCACACACACAUUGUGAAUCCUCAAGUUUUCGCGUAUAUCGCGGCGAACAUGUGAAAACAGUCGAGCACUUCCGAUCAGAUCAUAACUUUUUCCUGGCUCAAUGGUAAACGCCGUGCUCAAAACGUGUUCGUCGAUUUUGCAUCAAUUUAGUUGGCAUUGCGAUUGAAUCCUUUUUUGUCGCCUGAUCGCACACGUGUGCGUAUCUCUGUGUGUCUGUGAGUGCCACCUGUUUUUAGUUACAUAGCCCCAGAGCGCGCCACAGGACCAGGCAUGUUGUGCUCGAUGGCCAAGUUGCGGCGGAGCCUGCUCAGCGCUGCUUGGCUGCUUGUGCUCGGCGCGCAAAUAAUUUAUGUGGAUUAUGCUCGGGCGGAUUAUGAGAACACUUGGAAUUUAUAUUACGAGCCACCUUGUUGCACGGGCGCAGCAGCUGUUGGCCAUCACCUGCGGCAUCACAAAGAGCAUGUCAAGGACUUCAGCUGUGGCCCGCUGCACUACAAAACCUUUUACAUGGAUGAGCGCAACAACGCGCUCUAUGUUGGCGCCAUGGAUCGCAUUUUUCGUCUAAAUCUGCGCAACAUCAGCCAAUCUAUAUGCGAGCGCGACGUUCUAAUACUGGAACCCACUGGCUCCGAUAUACUCAACUGCGUCUCCAAGGGCAAGCGAGAGAAGGUGGAAUGCCGCAAUCACAUACGCGUCAUCCAGCCCAUGAACUUCAACGGCCAUCGGCUCUACGUCUGCGGCACGAAUGCGCACAACCCCAAGGAUUAUGUUAUAAACGCCAACUUAACACAUUUACCCAGAUCCCAGUACGUGCCCGGCAUAGGGUUGGGCAUCGGCAAGUGUCCCUACGAUCCCGCUGACAACUCAACCGCCGUCUAUGUGGAAAACGGAAAUCCCUUUGGUUUGCCUGCGCUGUACGCCGGAACCAAUGCUGAAUUCACCAAAGCCGAUUCGGUUAUAUUCCGCUCGGAUCUCUAUAAUUUCACCAAUGGACGUAAAGAGGCCAAUUUUAAGCGCACCGUCAAGUAUGACUCCAAAUUACUGGACAAACCGAACUUUGUUGGCUCCUUUGAGAUUGGCGAUUUUGUGUACUUUUUCUUUCGGGAACACGCCGUGGAGUACAUCAACUGCGGCAAGGCUGUCUAUUCGCGUGUGGCGCGCGUUUGCAAGAACGAUCGCGGCGGCAAGUACAUGAUCAGCCAGAACUGGGCGACAUAUCUGAAGGCGCGCAUGAACUGCAGCAUCUCGAGCGAGUUCCCCUUCUACUUCAACGAAAUACAGUCCGUCUAUAAAAUGCCCAACGAUGAUAGCAAAUUCUAUGCCACAUUCACAACGAAUACAAACGGAUUGAUUGGCUCGGCGGUCUGCAGCUACGAUAUAAGGGAUAUCAAUGCGGCCUUUGAAGGCAAGUUCAAGGAGCAGGCGUCAUCGAACAGCGCCUGGUUGCCAGUGCUGAACUCAAAAGUGCCGGAGCCACGUCCGGGCACAUGCCACAACGACACCGCAACACUGCCGGACUCGGUGUUGAAUUUCAUACGCAAACAUCCGCUAAUGGACAAGGCGGUUGAUCAUGAAUUUGGCAAUCCUGUAUUUUACAAACGAGACGUUAUACUCACCCGCCUCGUUGUCGACAAAAUACGCAUAGAUAAACUGAACCAAGAGUUUCUCGUGUACUUUGUGGCGACCAGCACUGGCCAGAUCUACAAGAUAGUGCAGUUCAUGCACUACGGCCAGCGACACUCGAAUCUGGUGGACAUAUUCGAGGCGUCGCCGCGCAACGAACCGAUACGCGAGCUGACACUCAGCCAGAAAACGGCUUCCCUCUAUUUGGCCACCGACCAUCAAGUGAAGCAAAUUGAUCUGGCCAUGUGUGCACGCCGCUACGACAGCUGCUUCCGCUGUGUGGCGGAUCCCUAUUGCGGCUGGGACAAGGAGGUCAACGCCUGCCGGCCAUAUCAGCUGGGCCUGCUGCAGGACGUGGCCAAUGAGACGUCCGGCAUAUGCGAUACGAGCGUGCUGCGCAAGCGUGUUACAUCCUCCUACGGCCAGACACUGCAUCUGUCCUGUUUCGUCAAGAUGCCCGACGUGCUGCGCAAGAAGCAGACACGCUGGUACCACCACUCCACAGAGAAGGGACGCUACGAGGUGCGCUACACACCCACCAAAUACAUUGAGACCAACGAAGGCGGCCUGGUGUUGCUGGCUGUGAACGAGGGCGAUGGCGGCCGAUAUGAUAGCUAUUUGGAUGGCACCCUGCUCUGCAGCUACGGUGUCACUGUGGAUGCGCACAGAUGCUCGCCGCCUUCGCAGAAGCAGGACUACCAGAAGAUCUAUUCGCACUGGUGCAACGAGUUCGAGAAAUACAAAUCAGCCAUGAAGCAAUGGCAGGCCAAACAGGAGCAAUGUGGCCUCAAGGAUAAAACGGCAACAGGCAGCAGCAGCGGCAGCAGCAUCAGCGGCAACGGCAAACAUGUCAACGAUGUGUUCAGCAACGACGCCCUGGUCUGACCCAGAAAGUACUUGUUCAGCUAUGAGUUCUUGUCGGCGGGUGUACGCCCAAAUUUCGGCCAUCAUUUGUACAUUUUCGUGUUUCUGCUAGCCCUGUGUACUAGUUACUAAAGUCUCUAGUCAAACUAGUUAAACCAGCAAAAACGCCAAGGAGCAGCAGCAGGGAGGAGAGUAACCAGCACCCAGAAAGCAGUGACAAGAGCCGAGCAACCAACUACAAAGACUGAAAUUUUUAAGCUUUUGAAAGACAAUAUUUCAAUAUGUUUUCAAUAUGUGUUUUAUUUUUUUUUCUUUUGCUUCAUUUACAUGUACAGCAAUUGUUUAGUGCUCUACGUUUGCCAUUCGAAUUAACAACAAAUAUCAAAUAACAAAUUUCAAAGCAAAACUCAAUAGUGCAACAAAAACAAA